rnacentral:misc_RNA from 1 species
AAUUAAUAAAGCAGGUAACUGAUUCCAAAUAUAGUCAAAGCACAAGACUUCAACAGGCUAAUUAAGAUACGCUGCAGGAAACAUCCAUAACAAGCAACAAAUAAUGAAUAUAACAAAGUGCUUUUUGUAAGAUCAAACAGCAUGUACAGUAAACAAAAAUGAAUGGAAUAAAUCUUAUUUCUUAGUGUUUUACACUCAACACAGUCCUACUAAAAAUAAGAAAAAGAUUGAAGGACUUAGAAUUCAAGUGCUGGAAUAAACUCUUAUUGCGAUUAUGUACAAA